UCAACCAUCAAGCUAUGCUUGGAAUUGGAUGUCACCCCCGGCCUCGCCCGGGGGAGCGUCUCAAACCGGUCGGCGGUGGCUUCGGGCCCUAAGCGUUAGUAAUACUUGUCGCUUUUCGGUGUCCUCGUAGUCCGCCCGCCCCGAAAACCCAACACCUCAA
rnacentral:misc_RNA from 1 species